AUAUUGAAUCUGUUGUUGUGCAUGUUGCAGAGAAGAAAGUAAUACUUGCUUGUAAAUCAAUGGCAGAAUGUUCCUCUUCUGCUGCUCCGGCUAAAGCCUCCAGGGUUGCUUUAUUUUCAUUCCAUAUAUGAGUCUGCAUGUUUUUUAUGUGUGGUUUUUUGGGUUUUAAUUGCAUUGCUACUAUGUGAAAAGCCAGUAAAAUUAAUAAUAAAAAAAUAUCAUUUUGGAAUAAUUUGUUCUGGUUAAUUUCAUGCUGUAGAACUUAUUUUGCUGAUAGUGUUGACAUGCAGCAGAAUGUAAUUCUGCAGAUCAUUGCAUAGGCUGCUUUUAUCCAUUCAGAAAACAGAAAUGGUCAAAUUUUUACAUCUAGAUCAAAAGGUUUCAGGUUCAAAUCUCACAGUAAGGGACAGCCUGGAGCAUCUAGAUAGUGGAAAAAUGGGGAAGAAAAUUUCUUAUUCGCACCCAGUGUAUGUGCAUCUAGCUAAUAAAAUUUGAUUAAACAUGAUACCUACAAGAUUUUGGCUUGUUUAUUAUUUAUUUAUUGAUCGAUAGUUUGUGCGCGGGGUGUGGUGUAAGAAUAAGGAACAAAUCUAUUCUCUCUCCCACUUUUGUCUCAAAACCUUUUCUCCUUUGGGACAUUAACACAAACAACAUAAAGGCAUGGAAGAAUUCAUACUCAGAAUAUAUGUUCUCCUCUACAACCAAGAAAAAGAUGCUCUACUGUAGUGCAAGUUUCAUAAACAAUACAAGCAAAAGAAGUCAAGAAUAAUGAACAAGCUAACUAUGCCCUUCCUCUCCACUAACACAAAUAAAAACAACUUAAGAGAUCAGAUUCCACAUCAAAAAGGGAGAAUUCCCAUAUAAAUCUAAUUUAUAUGCCUUUUCAGAAAUCAAAUACAACCUUUCUUUGCUAUUCUAAAGCAGUUUCUCUAUCUCUAUCAGCCAAUUUCAAGCUUCAAACACAUCAGAAAGACAGAAAAUAUUGGCAACAGCUUGUAUUAGUGAAGUUUCUAUUUCAUCAUUUCUAAAUAAAUCUCUUCAAGAAAGAAUAUUUAUCUCAUAUGCAAUUCUACUGCAUGGUGAUGAGAAUCAACAUCGACUGCAAUGGAUGUUACAGAAAAGUAAGAAAAGCCCUUCUUGAUAUGCACGAGUUGGAGACACACUUGAUAGAGAAGAAGCAGAGCAGGGUAAGUGUGUGUGGGAAAUUCAUCCCACAGGAUGUGGCAAUCAAAAUCAGGAAUAAGACUAACCGCAGAGUUGAGAUAUUGGACAUACAGGAGUUGGUCACUAACACCGCCGCCGCCGCCGCCGCCGACGCCGACAACCAAAACAAUCAAGAGAAUAGAACCCUCAUCAGUUCAAGUUCUUGGAGUCUUUUACCAAGCCAGACCCAGAUGGCACCUUGUGUAACAUGAUGAGAUAGAAAGCGGCAGAUGAACAUUUUGUUCACCAGUUCAUAUUCUUGAUAUGUAAGAUGUCUGAAACCAUUGCAAUAACAUUUAUCUUAUAGUCUACAGUUUCUUGUUUUUUGAUUCUAUACAACGUUAACUUUCA